ACUGCUCUUAGAAGGAUUGCAGGUGUGGCCACUGUAUAACAUGUAUACAUUUAGGUGGCAGAGAGGAGAAUGGUUAAAUCUACACUCAGUGUUCUGACCUAGGAACAUCUGAAUGGUUAGUAGCUUAACACU